UACAGGCGUGAGCCACCGCGCCCGGCCAGUUCAAUGGAUUUUAAAAAUUAUUAUUCUCUAGAAAAAAGACCACGAACUUUGGAGUGGACAUCCUGAGACCUGCCUACGAAGACCAUUAGGGUAAAGAAGUCACCCCUUCACCCCAGGACCAGGAAGCCUCCAGGAUGGCAUAAGCGACCAAACAGCUGGGAGCCAAGCACAGUGCAGGGGGCUUGGGGUCGGCGGCCGGAGGCUGGGUGGCCUCCAGAAGACACUCCCCUGAUUCCUACACCGAGGGAACACACAGCAGCAAGCUAGGAAAGAAGGGGUGACCCAGCCCAACGCUGUAAACCAGGGCGCGAACCGGCGUUGAGCUGUGCAGCUGCGCCCUGGGCUCCAGUCCUGCUCUGCCGCAGACCCCACCGGAGCCAGCACCUGCCUCCCCGACCCUCGCUGGGGCGGCUGUGAGAUGAGCCCAGAGCCUUCCUGAGCCAACCCUCGCAAGGAAAGUCUGUCUGUUCACCCCACUAUCCUUGUCUUGAAGGAUGAAGAAAAGAGGGCCCCCCGGGAGGUCCCAAAAGGUGGAAUGGACAUCUGGGAUCCAAGCACAGCAAUUUCUUUAUUUUUCUUAAGCCUCUCACUAGAGGAUGAAAAUCGUUCUGCAUAAAGGCCUGGGCUUUAUGAAAAAUAUAUUCACACCUCCCGUGUCCGAGCUGGGAUACCAAAGAAGUUCCUGGUUGAGUACUACUUAUGAAUGAAGGAUUCAGGGGAUGCACAGAAGCCAUGCCUUCUCUCAGGAGCAGACAGCACAAGACUUUCCUGCCAGAGGCACAGUCCCCAGUGGGAGUAGCAUCCACAUAAGACAGGAUGCAGAGAUGUCUUCAAGCAGCUUCAAACAAAACUUCAAGAAAGAAAGUGCAAGUGAAAAAGGAAAUUCAUCCUUCCAGUCACUUAACACAGCACUGUCACGGACACCUUGUGCCUCCUUAAAAUUCGUAUACUGAAGUUCUAAGCCCCAGUACCCCAGAAUGUGACCUUCUUUGGAAAUAGGGUCAUUGCAGAUAUGAUUAGUUAAGAGGAGAUCAUACUGGAGUGGGCUUUAAUCCAAUAUGACUGGUGUCCUUAUGUAAAGGGGAAAUUUGGACACAGACACACACAAGGAGAACACCAUGUGAACUGAAGUCAAAGAUUUGGGUGAUGCUUCUACAAGCCAAGAAAUGCCAAAGAUGACCAGCAAAGCACCGGCAGCUGGUGGAGGAGCCUGGACCAGAUUCUUCCUCACAGCCCUCAAAAGGAACCAAUCUUGCCAAAGCUUUGACUUAGACUUCUAGCCCCCUGUGAUGGUUAAUGUUAAGUGGCAGCUUGACUGGGUUAAGGGAUGCCCAGAUAGCUGGUAAGACAGUAUGUCUGUGUGCAUCUCUCAGAGUGUUUCUGGACAAGAUCAGCAUUUGAAUCCUUAGAGUAAAGAAGAUCUGCCCUCACCCACGUGCAUCACCCUAUCUCUGGAGAGCGCGAACAAACAGGAGGAAGGGCACAUAUGCUCCUUCUGUUCCAGCUGGCACAUCCAUCUUCUCCUGCCCCCUGACUUCAGAGCUCCUGGUUCUCGGGCCUCAGGAUUCCAGCACUUACAUGAGAGCGUGCUUCCCCCUCCCUACUCCACCCCUAGGUUCUCCGCCCUUUGGCCUCUGACUGAAUUCCACCACCAGCUUUUCAGGGUCUCCAGCUUGCAGACGGCAGAUCGUGGGACUUCUUGGCCUCCAUAAUUAUGUAAGCCAAUUCCCAUAAUAAAUCUCCUAUCUAUCUAUCUAUCUAUCCAUCUAUCAAUCAUCUAUCUAGUCUAUCUAUCUAUCUAUCUCUAUCCUAUUGAUUCUGUGUCUCUGAGGAACCCUAAUACACCUCCAGAACUGUGAGAUGAUACAUUUCUGUGGUUUAAGCCACUCAGAAGGUGGUACUUUGUUUCACCAGGCCUAGCAAACUAAUACAAGUGCAUGGAAGGUGACUACUCAUGACUGCAACUUAGAGAACAAGGGUUAUAAUAAAAAUAAAAGUGUUAUACAAAGGUGGCAAGAUAAAUGACAAUAAAUGAAAAUAUUAACAUGUGAAUUAAAAAGUAAAGAUAUUUUUCCUAGCAUUCUCCCAGAAAGUAGAGACGCGUCUCUCUUGUUUGCCAUCAUAUCCAGCAAUGGCAAGAUA
ensembl:lncRNA GRASLND glycosaminoglycan regulatory associated long non-coding RNA